CGCGUAGGCGGGUUUGUAAGUCAGAGGUGAAAUCCUGCAGCUUAACUGCAGAACUGCCUUUGAUACUGCAGAUCUUGAGUUUGGAAGAGAGAGACGGAAUUCCAGGUGUAGUGGUGAAAUACGUAGAUAUCUGGAAGAACACCAGUGGCGAAGGCGGUCUCUUGGUCCAUAACUGACGCUGAGGCGCGAAAGCGUGGGGAGCGAACAGGAUUAGAUACCCUGGUAGUCC
rnacentral:rRNA from 1 species